UGCCAGCCGCCGCGGUAACACGUAGGGGGCGAGCGUUAUUCGGAAUUAUUGGGCGUAAAGGGCGCGUAGGCGGCUUGACAAGUCAGUGGUGAAAUCCCUCGGCUCAACCGAGGAACUGCCUCUGAAACUGUUCGGCUUGAGGCCGGGAGAGGGUGGUGGAAUUCCCAGUGUAGCGGUGAAAUGCGUAGAUAUUGGGAGGAACACCAGUGGCGAAGGCGGCCACCUGGACCGGUUCUGACGCUGAAGCGCGAAAGUGUGGGGAGCAAACAGGAUUAGAUA
rnacentral:rRNA from 1 species